UAGUCUAGCGGUUAGAACGCUGGCCUUGUAAUCCUGGGGUCUCGGGUUCGAUUCCCGG
rfam:Zootermopsis nevadensis contig1824, whole genome shotgun sequence.